rnacentral:lncRNA from 1 species
CUGACCCCCGGGGAAGGCUGACCAACUGCAAAGGUGGGAGAUUGCUGACAACCCUGUGACAUCCAUAUUGUCACACGCUGGGGGAUGAGUGAGGAACAAGAGUCAGGGUCGCAGGGCAGAGUUGAUACUCAGAAAUCUGGGAUGGGGGACACAGGCUUUGAAACAUCCCCCUUCAAACAGGAUCCUUCAGAAUAGUUGUUGUUAAUUAAACCACACAGGGUAGCUCCUCAAAGGGCUGAGAGAUGCCCUCACAGUUGACUUGCCUUCUCCACCUUCCCUCAACACAGUCAGGGCAUCGGCUUCUUAGCUUCCCUGAGGACAGGCGUGCUACUGGUCUACUUUGCAGCCUUCUUUCCACCAGGUUUGAACACUGACAUCAACUCCAGUGGGCCCUGAGAGAGAACCUGUCCUCUCUGAGCCUCAGUGGCUUUCUCUGUCACAAGGACAACAUUCCAAGACGGUUGGGUGUAUCAUCAGACCUCAGUAAGUGGCUGCCCUGUGCGUGGUGCUGUGGGGGAGUGCAGGAGGACCUGGCCUCCAGCUAUGCUUGCUGUGGCCAGAGGCUGCUCCUGUCCUUAGAAUCCCUUCCUGCACAGAACAGAGUCCUGUGGCCUAAAAAUCCUAGAAUAUUUCCUUCUCAGGGAAAAGUAAAACACCUUUAAGUUCUAUUCUUUAUAAUAAGGGAGAAUCUGAGCAAUGUAUAUGUCAACUGACGAAUGAUGAUCUUAUCACAUUAUCAUCAUAGAACUAACUCCUGAAGUCCUGUUAGAGGCUAGGCUUCUGGCUCCAGGAACCAAUAAAAUGCUCCACACACCAUGUCUGUGUGGGGAAAUCAGCACAGGCUGCAAGGAUUGUCUGCUCAUUCCAAAACAAAACAGUAUCAAUUGUGGGAACACAGGCUCUCUUUUCUCUCUUUUAAUAAUUUCGACCACAGACACAAUACAAGAGCUGAUGCAGCUUUGAUACCAAGGUUACAUUUCAGUGCCAUGAACUACGUCUAAUCACAGGCUACAAUGUAAUCUUACAGAAUGAAG